UAACUCUGGGAAACUGGAGCUAAUACCGCAUGAUACCUGAGGGUCAAAGGCGCAAGUCGCCUGUGGAGGAGCCUGCGUUCGAUUGCUAGUUGUUGGGGUAAAGCCUACAAGGCGAAUAACCAAAACCGGUUUUAAAAAAUAUUCACAACUUGGAACUGAAACACGCCCCAAUUCCUACGGGAGCCACUGGGGAAAUAUUGAAAAUGGGGGCCACCCUGAUCCCCAGUGCCGCGUGUGUGAAAAAGGUCUUCAGAUUGUAAAACUUUUUCCACGGGGACGAUGAUGACGGUACCCGUAAAAGAACCCCCGGCUAACUUCGUGCCAGCACCCGCUUUAUUAAAAAAGGGGGGUAGGUUGCUCGAAAUGACUGGGCGUAAAGGGCGUGUAGCCGGUUUACACAGUCAGAUGUGAAUCCGCGGGCUAACCCUUGGAGCUGCAUUUGAUACGUGAAGACUACAGUGGGAGAGAGGAUUGUGCAAUUCCAGUUACACGGUGAAUUCCGUAAAUAAUAGAAAAACACCGGUGGCAAGGGCGGCAACUCCGGUCAAUUUCUGAACCUAAGGUCCGAAAGCGUGGGGG
rnacentral:rRNA from 1 species